rnacentral:rRNA from 1 species
AGUUUGAUCCUGGCUCAGAACGAACGCUGGCGGCAUGCCUAACACAUGCAAGUCGAACGAACCCUUCGGGGUUAGUGGCGCACGGGUGCGUAACACGUGGGAAUCUGCCCUUUGCUUCGGAAUAACAGUUAGAAAUGACUGCUAAUACCGGAUAAUGUCUUCGGACCAAAGAUUUAUCGCCGAGGGAUGAGCCCGCGUAGGAUUAGCUUGUUGGUGGGGUAAUGGCCCACCAAGGCGACGAUCCUUAGCUGGUCUGAGAGGAUGAUCAGCCACACUGGGACUGAGACACGGCCCAGACUCCUACGGGAGGCAGCAGUGGGGAAUAUUGGACAAUGGGCGAAAGCCUGAUCCAGCAAUGCCGCGUGAGUGAUGAAGGCCUUAGGGUUGUAAAGCUCUUUUACCAGGGAUGAUAAUGACAGUACCUGGAGAAUAAGCUCCGGCUAACUCCGUG